rnacentral:rRNA from 1 species
UGGUGGGUUGCCUUGUCAGGUUGAUUCCGGUAACGAACGAGACCUCAGCCUGCUAAAUAGUUACUCCUACUUUGGUACAUAGUAAUAGUAAUAGGUACUCCUACAAGGAGGCGAACUUCUUAGAGGGACUAUUGGCGUUUAGCUAAUGGAAGUGUGAGGCAAUAACA